UACGGAGGGGGCUAGCGUUAUUCGGAAUUAUUGGGCGUAAAGGGCGCGUAGGCGGCCCGGUAAGUCAAAGGUGAAAUCCCUCGGCUCAACUGAGGAACUGCCUUUGAAACUGUCGGGCUCGAGGCCGGGAGGGGGUAGCGGAAUUCCCAGUGUAGCGGUGAAAUGCGUAGAUAUUGGGAGGAACACCGGUGGCGAAGGCGGCUACCUGGACCGGUUCUGACGCUGAUGCGCGAAAGCGUGGGUAGCAACAGGAUAGAAACGAGUA
rnacentral:rRNA from 1 species